GACGAACGCUGGCGGCGUGCUUAACACAUGCAAGUCGAACGGAAAGGCCUCUUUCGGGGGGUACUCGAGUGGCGAACGGGUGAGUAACACGUGAGUAACCUGCCCUUGACUUUGGGAUAACUUCAGAAAACUGGGGCUAAUACCGGAUAGGAGCUCCUGCUGCAUGGUGGGGGUUGGAAAGUUUCGGCGGUUGGGGAUGGACUCGCGGCUUAUCAGCUUGUUGGUGGGGUAGUGGCUUACCAAGGCUUUGACGGGUAGCCGGCCUGAGAGGGUGACCGGCCACAUUGGGACUGAGAUACGGCCCAGACUCCUACGGGAGGCAGCGGUGGGGAAUAUUGCACAAUGGGUGGAAGCCUGAUGCAGCAACGCCGUGUGCGGGAUGACGGCCUUCGGGUUGUAAACCGCUUUCGCUCAUGACGAAGCUUUGUGUGACGGUAGUGGGUAAAGAAGCACCGGCUAACUACGUG
rnacentral:rRNA from 1 species